rnacentral:lncRNA from 1 species
UGAUGAAAAAAGGAAAAAGAAAAAAGAAAAACAUAGCUUAAUUAACUAGAUCUGUAGAACGCAGCGGAAGUAUUCGUUCGUACCUUUUUCGGAAGCGAUUCAUGUUACAACUCGAUGAGCCCGGAUCGUCAAGGUUGAUUCACGUGUUCUUUGACCGUCCUUGAUUAAAUGUUCUCACGUUCCAAACUCGCGAUGGAUCGAACUACAAACGAGCACGAUCGCAAAUCCACUGUUCAAGUCCCUCUUAGAAUAAUAAGUUGAUGGAAAAUGUGGUUUCUCUCUAUCGUUUUCUUCUUUUUUUUUUUCCGUUCUUGUACCUUUUGUUAUGUGGGAUCGCCCGCAUAUUUAUAAGGAAUUCCAAAAUCCUAAUAGCGUUAAAGAUAAGACCAAAUCGGUUAUUAAUUGUUAUCCUAAUAUGACUAGAAUUUAUCUUUAACUAGCUUUCCAAUUUGAAAGCGAGAUUAAUUCCAAUCCAAUUAGAUAACAUAAUAUCCGUCGGAUCGAACCCGCCUAUGGGCGUACCAGAUUCGAUUUAACCGAAUGCCAAAAAGAUCUAUAAAU